AUGUCCCCACAAGGUCACAAAAACACUGGUAUUCCUAUCUUUGUGGGGACAAUUGGUCCCCACAACGUGAUAAUUACCAGGUACACGCACACACACACACACACACACACACACACACACACACACACACACACACACACACACACACACACACACACACACACACACACACACACACACACAUAAUAUAUUUUACUACGAAGUUGUGCUGCAAUCUACUUUUAAUGAAAAGCUCAAUGGAGAUCUCAAGGAGCAGUCUUUAUCCCACAUACUGUAUAAUUUAACAGCAGUAUCUGAUGAAAAUUUGUCAUCUUAUGAAUACUGCAUGAGUGACAUUGAUUCAAACACACAUUAUUUCUUGCAGUUAAACCUAUCUGACGAUAUUCUAGUUAGCAUAAUCAAUGAGUUCUUCAUGAAACAACAUGACAUCCUAGCAGAAUGUAUUUCAGGAGAUAUUUUUGCUCUUGGACAUGACAGUGCUAAUUAUGUGGCAACAUUCAAUCCAAUGCGAGAUUAAUAGCAUUUAUUACGAAUAUUCUUUGUUAUAGCCUAUUCUCGUGUGUAUCGUAAAAUGUUUAUUUUGUAAAACUUGAAGUUGUCCAAUGCAACUGAAUCGGAUCUUGAAACGAAACGAUGACUCCACUUGGCCACACGAUGUCACCAUUCUUUAAUGUUUUUCAAAAAUUUCAGCAAGGAAAUUACAAGUCAUUAUGACAAGUCAUUCAGAUGGCCCAUAUGGUCUUUUUAUUAUCUUCAUCUGCAUAAAUCUAAACACAAAGAACUGCUCUGUAUUCAAUGAUAUAUUUAUUGUACAUAUUGCUACAUCCAUAUUGGAAGGUAUUAAUGGGCUAUUUAAAUUUUGCUUUCGUUCCCAGAUUUCCAUUUGUAAUUAGCCUACAUGUGUGUAUUUGUGUAUUUUUUUCUGCUCAAACUGUGUAGCUAUAAUUAUGUUGUGUAUGAAUAUUAUCGUUUAAUAAGAAGUUUUUAAAGAAAUGACAACUGUGCAUUGGAGUUCAUUGUUUCUGUAAAAUUUUUCUUAAUCUAAAAUAUUAUAGCAUAACAUUUCCAAUUUCCGAAGUAUUCGAUGACUAAUUCUAUUAGGUCAACUUCAUGUAUCUACUUACCUUACCCUUUUAUAGAAAAAUAAAAAAAUCGAACAUUUGUUAGAGAAAAUUCGAAUCAAAGUAUAAUUUAAAUGAAAUUGUAUUGUAAUGUGGUCUAUACGUUUCAUAUAAAUAUAAUAGGUAAUAUGUUGUACCCUUAUUUAUACCAUCACAUUUUAAAUGUAGUUAUUCUUUAGUAGACUAUUAAUAUACGAUGGUCAGUAAUCAGGUCACAACAAAUACAUGGUUUUAAAGUUUAAUCAGUUCCAACAGGUUAUUUAUUAUCAAAGGUCCCAUUUAUACCAUGGCAUAAUACAUAUUAUACACGUCAAAAAAUAAAUAAAAUAACAAAAUAUCGUACAAAAUAUGUGAAUACACGAAACGAAUUACAUUUUAAAUGAAAUUCUACCCUUCAUAAACAGAUACUGUGUUUGUCUUUAUAUAUUUAUAUAUUGACGUUUGGUAAAUGUGUGGUUUCUUGUCACAAAUAAGGGUAGUAAUGAUGAGCGAAAAAUAAAGGAAUCUACCAAUCAUUGUAAUGUUUCAAGUUUUUCUUUUUUUAUUACACUAAUGGUAGUGCCAUUGCAUUUUUCCAACACGCGUGUGUUGCAGCAUAAACCUAAACGUAUAGCGUUAAAGCACAUUAGCCUACUACAGAAAGCUGAUUCUAACCCCAGAUGAAGAGGAAUUUUGCUACUGGCUCCCAGAGCCUAAAAUGAAUGUUAUAACAUUGCUACAACAACGAUAUCCAAAGUUAUUUAGGAUUUCAAAAAUAACUUUGUCAAAACUGUGUUUCCUACACAAAAUGUCAAAAAUUUUACCCCAACUGUCACUGGGGCGGUACUCGUUUAAAAGUACAACUUUGCACCUGAAGAGUAAACUCCCUCUGUAUAUUAUGUCAAAGUUACAUAUUGGUACCAAAUCUAUACCUGUAUCUAAUGGUACAAUUUAGUACCUUUUUAAAAGGUACUGCCCAGCUGUACUGACACAUAUUUUGAUUUUUUUCCAACAGUGUAGUGAAAGGCAGGUUUAAACGUUAAUCUGAUAUAAGAUAUCAUAACGGUUGUGUAUUAAUUGCACUGCGAAUAAUCUGGAAAAAUUGAAAACUCACAGACAAAUAUUUUUUUAUAAUUCUCAAACAAUUAACUUUAUUUAAAUUGGUAAAUACAUUGCAUUUAAUAUUCUUGAAAAAAAAAUUGCUACAACGUAAAUGAAAGAUUAAUUGUCUUUAAGCCUGAGUAGUGGUAUGAGUUUGCCACAACGUUUCGUAAACGCAGAUCAUCUCUAGUCCCUGUUUAAAUUCCGCAUGAAUGAUUAAAAAAAAUCUUUGAAAUCUUUAUUAACAUUGUCAAGUUUUAGUAGUGACUCACAAAUAUUUACCAUUAACUAGAACACAAAUACAAAAUAUAUAAACAUGAUUUAGAUUUCUUUGCAGGUGAGUAGCCUAUUUCUUGUCAACAGCACAAAAAAGCCAAUAACAAUAAUAAUAACAACAGUAGUAUUUGCUGAAAAUAACAGACACUUACACGAAUUUAACAGGCUCUACAGAAUAAUAAUAAAAAACUAAUUAUUGCUGAUUUAGUAGUGCUCAGAUAAAUAUUCUUGCGGCGCAACUGUUGUGUGUAUUGGAUUAUAAAACUACUAUAGUUUUAGGCAAACUGACUUUUUAUUUAUGUAUCAUUAUAGUUUGCUUACUGGUAAACUGCUGUAGCUUAUCUAUUUGUAAUUCAGAAAGCGCAGCCUACAGUCUUAUCUUGAUAUUGAAAUAUUGAAGAUUAUUAUAGUUUAGGCCUAAUCAUUAUUAUAGAUUUUUUUAACUAAUAGAUAGCAUUCAUCUUUAGUAUAAAACAUUUUUGCUUGUGCCACAUUUAGAUAUUUAUGUCAUAUUUAUUUCUGCACCAGUUCCCUGUUGAACAUUACACCACUAGAUGUCGCCAAGUGUUAUAAAAACACUUUGUUGAUUAUUCUCACGUUACAUUCAUUUUUAGGGAAUAUUAACUAAGGCUAAACAUUAAACAAUUACAAUUUGAAUCAAAACGUUGAAUAUUAUAAAAAAUAUUAAUUUACACGUUUAGAGAAUUCAGGUUUCAAUUAAUGAGUAGCCUAUAAAUUGUGGUAAUACAUGCUAAAUUAAAUGUAACCCUUUAACAAGGAAAUCUGGAAAAACUGCAAUUAGUUGGUUUUAUAAAAUGUAAAGAUGACUUUUCCUUAAUUUAUUCUCUAUAUCAUAUAGUAGGCUACAUAAUAUGGAUUUUUUGUCAUAUAUAGGCCUUCUCCAUAGCGUCUAUAUUUUAUGUCUAUUACAGUGAUAUUUUUGACAGAAAGAAUAGCAAAAAGAAAAAAAAAGAUAAUAUUUCGUAUAAGAAGACAUAACAUUAAAGACUUACUUUAAAUGAUUGACACUAAAUAUGUUAUUAUUCGUUAAUUGUUCACAUUUGAUUACGAACAGUAAUUUAGAUAAAAACCUUUUAACGGUGCAUUCCACAUGUUUGUUUUUUGAUGUUGUUUUUGUUUUGCACUUUUGGUUUUUUGUUUCCAUCACUGCAGGAAUAACAUACCCUUAUUAUUGUUUUAUCUUGUUACAGCGAGAGUAGUCUGUAAAAGGGAGAAAAUGUGUCUUAUAAAAGAAAAUUCUGCUAUUCGUUUUAUCUAAUGACAGUCCUUAAUCUAAUGUAAAGUAAGAUUAAGAGAAAUAGAAUCAACAUACAAGCGCCCGUAUUAUUUUUCCUUUGUUUACUUCGGGCCUCAUAAAGAGUCAAAAGUUGUUAACUGCUGUUAAAAAACUUAAAACGCGCUUUUCAUUUUCCAUUCAAGUCAAAGCAGCCCAUUUUCAUGAUUUGCGUAUUUAUUGCAAGCGUAAUACUGGCAAAUUUGGAAUUUUAUGACACUCCUUGCGGUUCACUUAAUACAGCGCAUCAUUUUGUGUCGUUUUAUGUAUUGUUUUUUUUUGUCGCUUGGAGUUAGUGUAAGAACAAGUUUGUUUUACAUUAAAAUAUGACAUCCUAAACCAAACCCCAAUUCGAACACCAUCUCCAAGCGACCAUGGUUUCAAAAACAUGUAUACACCUAUAUAUUAAAUGACCUAAUAAAGCAAAUGCCAAAUCUAACCCCAAAAGCAACAAUGGUUUAAAAAACAGAAAAAGAGAAAACAAUAGGCUACACAAAACGACACGAAAAGUUGAGCAGUAUUAAGUUAACUGAAGGACUGGCAUAUCAUAUGCACGCAAAAUUGAAAUUUUGCGUAAUACACGACUUUUCACACUGCAUCCUAUUUAUACGCACUUCACAUGAUCGGUCAAAAACAAUUAAUGCUUGUUUAAAACAGGCCAUCGUACAAUAUAAAUAAUAUAUAUUGAAUUAAGAUUUUUAUUAUAUUAAGAAAUAAAUCACAUUUGCGUCGUGAGAUAUUGACACCCUUCAUUGCUUAAAGGGAGCUGUGGGAAAGUUUGAAUUCCUAUAGGUUUUAAAUAUGCAUAAGUAUGGUAAUCACGGUCCUGCUGUGUUGCAAACAGGCGCGGCCUGUCACACACGUCCUACACUUUGGACAGUAUGAAGUUGCCAAGGUGACAUAAGAAGUCCAAGUAAGUGUAAUUUCUCUUUUUGAUAUCUGUUCAUAAAGAGAUGUGAAGGGACUGUUUGAGGACAGCAUGCAAGCAUACGACAGCACGUGUGUUGACCCAUUGGGAGUAAAUCUUUACGUGUGCUCGUCUGACCACUUCUGUUGGGUGCGAGAUCAGCAAAGGUUCUCAAGAUGAAGAUCAGACGCUUUAGGAGUAGGAACUUUAUGAGAGACACAUCUACUAUUGCGCAAAAAAGUCGGAAAGAGCCAUGCCUCGAGAGUGAGAGGAAUUAUAUUAAUAGGAAAACGGAUAUUUGGCCUAAUGAUGACUUUAGGGGGUUAAAACAAGGAAAUGUGACCAUUACACACGUUUGAAGUAAACAACAAGGAACUGGCAUGAACGUUACCGACUGAUAGACCAACACAAGGAAUGGAGAAGAUGAACUGCUCACCGCUGGGUUGAGAGACUUCAACGGGUCAUCCUUAUUAGUGUCCAGCACCUGAAGGCAAGAGGUCAAGAAAUAAAUGGGUCGCCUAUUUCAUAUACAGCCUUGCUAACAUGCAAAGAUAUCCAAUGUUACCUAAUGUUGGUCUAACAGGGAAGCAACACAUACGUCGUUUGUAUAACCCUUGAUCCUUGCAUUGUGAAUUGUUUUAUUUAUUUAUUGUAUGAUGAAAUUGUGAUAGGAUCUAACUUUUUCAACAUGCUUGUAGUCAAGAUUUUAUUCAUUCAUUAAAUUGGGCAUUUUUAUAAGAAAAAAAGAACACGUCUUGUGAUUAAUUUGCUGAACUGUGGGUGAUGAAAUAUUUAAUUUCUUGGGUAUUAAAAUGAUCAGUCUCGGAUCCAUUGAGAGGGUUGACAUUGUUGAAUCAGUACCCCACUAAGGUACUGCCGUAUAGGGAAUUAUUGCUUCAGUCUGAACAUGUCCCCUUUGUAAUAUAUCUAGGAAUAUAACGUUUGAUUAUCCUUUCUUUCUUUUUAGAUUUUCUCAAAUUUUCUCUUUCUUGUUUUGUUUAA